GUAAUUUAUGGAGGUCUCCGUUUAGGGCUGUAUGAACCCUCAAAGCAUGCCUGUGCUUUGUGUUUUGGGUCCACCAAUAUACUGGUCAAGAUUGCAUCAGGUGCAUUUGCUGGUGCAAUUGCAACUGCACUGACCAAUCCUGUUGAAGUUCUGAAGGUUCGGUUGCAGGCGAAUACAAACCCUAGCCCAAGCCAAGGAGGACCAAUUGCAGAAAUGCGUAGAAUUGUUUCUGAAGAGGGAAUAAGAGCUCUCUGGAAGGGGGUUGGCCCUGCUAUGGCCAGAGCUGCUGCUUUGACUGCAUCACAACUGGCAACGUAUGAUGAAACCAAGCGGGUUCUUAUUAGGUGGACACCUCUGGAAGAAGGAUUUCAUCUACACUUGGUCUCAAGUACAGUAGCAGGGACAGUGAGUACCCUUAUAACUGCACCCAUGGAUAUGAUUAAAACCCGCCUCAUGCUGCAACGGGAAUCUAAAAGAGUUCAAAGCUAUAAAAAUGGAUUUCAUUGUGCAUAUCAGGUUAUGCUUACAGAGGGCCCUAGUGCACUUUACAAGGGGGGCUUUGCAAUUUUUGCAAGAUUGGGUCCUCAAACUACAAUCACAUUUAUACUAUGUGAGAAACUGCGCAAGCUUGCCGGAUUGAAUGCCAUCUAGCAGCGG
rnacentral:misc_RNA from 1 species